ACAAAUGCCCUGCUUCCAGGAAAAGCCUCUAAGCAUCAGGUAACAUCAAAUCGUACCCCAAACCGACACAGGUGGUCAGGUAGAGAAUACCAAGGCGCUUGAGAGAACUCGGGUGAAGGAACUAGGCAAAAUGGUGCCGUAACUUCGGGAGAAGGCACGCUGAUAUGUAGGUGAAGCGACUUGCUCGUGGAGCUGAAAUCAGUCGAAGAUACCAGCUGGCUGCAACUGUUUAUUAAAAACACAGCACUGUGCAAACACGAAAGUGGACGUAUACGGUGUGACGCCUGCCCGGUGCCGGAAGGUUAAUUGAUGGGGUUAGCGGUAACGCGAAGCUCUUGAUCGAAGCCCCGGUAAACGGCGGCCGUAACUAUAACGGUCCUAAGGUAGCGAAAUUCCUUGUCGGGUAAGUUCCGACCUGCACGAAUGGCGUAAUGAUGGCCAGGCUGUCUCCACCCGAGACUCAGUGAAAUUGAACUCGCUGUGAAGAUGCAGUGUACCCGCGGCAAGACGGAAAGACCCCGUGAACCUUUACUAUAGCUUGACACUGAACAUUGAGCCUUGAUGUGUAGGAUAGGUGGGAGGCUUUGAAGUGUGGACGCCAGUCUGCAUGGAGCCGACCUUGAAAUACCACCCUUUAAUGUUUGAUGUUCUAACGUUGGCCCGUAAUCCGGGUUGCGGACAGUGUCUGGUGGGUAGUUUGACUGGGGCGGUCUCCUCCUAAAGAGUAACGGAGGAGCACGAAGGUUGGCUAAUCCUGGUCGGACAUCAGGAGGUUAGUGCAAUGGCAUAAGCCAGCUUGACUGCGAGCGUGACGGCGCGAGCAGGUGCGAAAGCAGGUCAUAGUGAUCCGGUGGUUCUGAAUGGAAGGGCCAUCGCUCAACGGAUAAAAGGUACUCCGGGGAUAACAGGCUGAUACCGCCCAAGAGUUCAUAUCGACGGCGGUGUUUGGCACCUCGAUGUCGGCUCAUCACAUCCUGGGGCUGAAGUAGGUCCCAAGGGUAUGGCUGUUCGCCAUUUAAAGUGGUACGCGAGCUGGGUUUAGAACGUCGUGAGACAGUUCGGUCCCUAUCUGCCGUGGGCGCUGGAGAACUGAGGGGGGCUGCUCCUAGUACGAGAGGACCGGAGUGGACGCAUCACUGGUGUUCGGGUUGUCAUGCCAAUGGCACUGCCCGGUAGCUAAAUGCGGAAGAGAUAAGUGCUGAAAGCAUCUAAGCACGAAACUUGCCCCGAGAUGAGUUCUCCCUGACUCCUUGAGGGUCCUGAAGGAACGUUGAAGACGACGACGUUGAUAGGCCGGGUGUGUAAGCGCAGCGAUGCGUUGAGCUAACCGGUACUAAUGAACCGUGAGGCUUAACC
rnacentral:rRNA from 1 species